GAUGAACGCUAGCGGCAGGCUUAAUACAUGCAAGUCGUGGGGCAGCAGGACUGUAGCAAUACAGUUGCUGGCGACCGGCAAACGGGUGCGGAACACGUACGCAACUUACCCUGAACUGGGGGAUAGCCCGGGGAAACCCGGAUUAAUACCCCGUAAUAUAAUGGAGUGGCAUCACUUUAUUAUUAAAGCUCCGGCGGUUCGGGAUGGGCGUGCGGCUGAUUAGGUAGUUGGUUGAGGUAACGGCUCACCAAGCCUACGAUCAGUAACUGGUGUGAGAGCACGACCAGUCACACGGGCACUGAGACACGGGCCCGACUCCUACGGGAGGCAGCAGUAAGGAAUAUUGGGCAAUGGAGGCAACUCUGACCCAGCCAUGCCGCGUGGAGGAUGAAGGCCCUCUGGGUUGUAAACUUCUUUUAUAGGGGACGAAAUCUGUGUAUUCUUACGCAGUUGACGGUACCCUAGGAAUAAGCACCGGCUAACUCCGUG
rnacentral:rRNA from 1 species